GCCCCGUUCGUCUAGUGGCCUAGGACGCUGCCCUCUCACGGCGGUAACAGGGGUUCGAGUCCCCUACGGGGUACCA
rnacentral:tRNA from 1 species